rnacentral:rRNA from 1 species
CACGUAGGGUGCGAGCGUUGUCCGGAAUUAUUGGGCGUAAAGAGCUCGUAGGCGGUGUGUCGCGUCGGCCGUGAAAACCUGCAGCUUAACUGUGGGCGUGCGGUCGAUACGGGCAUCACUGGAGUUCGGCAGGGGAGACUGGAAUUCCGGGUGUAGUGGUGAAAUGCGUAGAGAUCCGGAGGAACCCCAGAGGCGAAGGCGGCGCUCUGGCUCGCAACUGACGCUCAGACACGACAGCAUGGGGAGCGAACGGG